UCCCAGGCCUUAAAAACAAAAAUAGGCAGUUAGAUUUUGGGACAACUCCACCCUCUAUAUUUUCAAUUUUCUAUGAACUCUAUCUAUGGAUUGUGAACGGAUGACUUUUUAACCCAUAUGGAAUUUUUGGUCAAUUUUUAAUUACUCCUUUUUAACUAGUUAAUUAAUUAACCAAGUCUCAUUUUUUAGCCUAUUUAUUGCACUGCACUUUACUGGUGGAACUUAAUUGCAAUAUUAAUUUGCUAAUGCUAUUUGAAUAAUUGCCCCUUACUAAUUAAUUAAUGAAUGAAUUUAUUGAUUAAGGGGUGGUAUUUGAAUCUAUUGGUGGGUUAAUAUACCCUUUUGAUUUAGCAGUAAUCAAUUAUUUUUUAUCAUCAGUCUUUGUGGCUGAUUGAUUUCACACUAUUUAUUUGCACUAGCACUUUCCUGUUCACUAACUCAUGGCAGUGGGUCACUUGUAUGUAUCCCUGCCCCCGCAGGAUUGGACAGAAAAACUAAUUAGCAUAGCAAUUAAAAGCUCCCUCCUCCCCUUUCACCUUCAGUUCUUUUUCUGUCCCGCGUCAAGGAUUCAGGCUCACCCCAUAGAUUGUUCCAACCAGGUCUCAAGCUCUCUCUCCUUGGUUGAAGCCCUGGGACUAGCGCUGAUUCUAACCGCUGCCCAGGGGCCCCUCCUGCUGUCAGGUGCGACCAGGGGCUAUGGCAGUAUUGGAAAUUAUUUUCUGCCGAGCGCCAUAGCUAUUGGAGAAGGCGCAAGCUAUACAGGACGUGUUGCCAUGGUGAUGCGCAUACAACGUGAUGACGUCAGACGCAUGAGGAAUUUUUUUCAGACCGGCAAACUUGUAGCGUUCCUGUUACAAUCUGAGGCCAUCCGCGCAGUAACUUGCAAUCUGUGUGUUUCCUGCAUUCAGAAUCAACCUGUCAGUUUGUGAGCUAUUUCUGAGCAUUAAUCUGGCAAUAUCUGGCUUAACUAAGGAGGCAAAGGUCGUUAAAAUAUGGAGGGGCAUUCUGGGGAUCAGGAAGUUGAAAGAGCAACUAGGAAGUCUAAGAUCUGCAGAUCUUGUGAUAAUCCUGCAUUGCAGGGAAGAAGACUCUGUCAGGAAUGUAUUUCGCUUGCCUCAGGAAAUAUGACUAAUCAAUUUGAAGAAUUUAUGAAUAAGAUGUCCCAAUCAGUGUCUAAUUCUAUUGAGGUAGCUUUAUCUAGAGCUACUGA